rnacentral:lncRNA from 1 species
CCCUGCCGACCAGAAACCUUCUCACCCCAAAAUAAAACUCUCCUCCAACCAGAAACAUUCUGAACCUGUGAUAAGCUCUCCCUCCCUAAACCCGUAAAUACCCUUAGUCUAUAAGAGAGAGUGCCCCUGAGAGAAAUCGGCCAGAAGCUCCUCUCAGGUUUAUUCUCCAAAAUAAAUCUGUCUUUGACUGUUGAGCCGCUUUUCAUGUUUCUUUCUUCCUUCUUCAAGUCUUACAUUUGGUGCUGAAACCCAGAACAUUCCAAGGAAAGGUUCCAACAUUCCAAGCCACUGUCCUUACAUGCAAGAGUCAAAGAGGCUUUUCUUUUGAGCUAUCAACAGCUUUUGACAGUUUGGUGUGCUCCCAUGAACAAAAUUUGAGGCAUGCUUAUUUCUCUCUGCCUGGUUUUCUCCCGAGUCUGGAAACUACCUCUGGAGAUCACUAAAACCUAAGCUGUGCUUUCUUGAAGCCCUGUGAGCUGAAAAUUAGAUGUUUCAGUGGGCGCUGCCUCUGGGCCUCUGAGGCAGAGUGUGCUACCCAGAACAAAUCGACCUCUUCCACUCCAGCACCAUGUUCAGUGUCCCAUAACGACAACCCUCUCUCAGCAGGAAGUAGCCAGAAAGAGCACGUCGCCCCUCAUCCUUUUAUAACUAUAGGGUCUGGAUUGACAAAGCAGGAGCAUCAACAUUUUGGACAAACAGCAGCAUUUUAAGUUCCCCUUGAUUAAAAACCGCCUAAAUCCAGCCCCCAAAAAAUCAGCCUAAUGGCUGUCAGCAUGACCAUAAACCACAAAUGACACCUCCAAUCAGAAACAUUCCAACCCUGAGAUAAAGCGCCCUCCAACCAGAAACAUUCCUACCCCGAAAUCAAACACUCCUCUGACCAGAAACAUUCCCAACCUGCGAUAAGCUCUCCCUCCCUAAACCCUUAAAUACCCUUAGUCUGUAAGAGAGAGUGCUCCUGACAGCAAUCGGCCAGAAGCCCCUCUCAGGUUUAUUCUCCAAAAUAAACCUGUCUUGGACUGUUGAGCCACUUUUCGUGUUUCUUUCUUCUUUCUUCAACUCUUACACUCAGGAGUUCAAGACCAGCCUGGCCAACAUGC